rnacentral:rRNA from 1 species
AGAACGAACGCUGGCGGCAUGCCUAACACAUGCAAGUCGAACGAGACCUUCGGGUCUAGUGGCGCACGGGUGCGUAACGCGUGGGAACCUGCCUUUAGGUUCGGAAUAACUCAGAGAAAUUUGAGCUAAUACCGGAUAAUGUCUUCGGACCAAAGAUUUAUCGCCUUUAGAUGGGCCCGCGUAGGAUUAGCUUGUUGGUGGGGUAAUGGCCUACCAAGGCGACGAUCCUUAGCUGGUCUGAGAGGAUGAUCAGCCACACUGGGACUGAGACACGGCCCAGACUCCUACGGGAGGCAGCAGUGGGGAAUAUUGGACAAUGGGCGAAAGCCUGGAUCCAGCAAUGCCGCGUGAGUGAUGAAGGCCUUAGGGUUGUAAAGCUCUUUUUACCCGGGAUGAUAAUGACAGUACCGGAGAAUAAGCUCCGGCUAACUCCGUGCCAGCAGCCGC